GGCUGACACUCUAUCCACUGAGCCAAACCGGUAAGGGGGGGGGGACUCAAGAAAUGGUGUUUUUUUUAAACUUGAUAUGCUGUAGAGAAUCAGGAGUCCCAUAUUCUUACCUCGACAAUGAAUAUAGUUCUUCUGUCUGAUUUGGGCCAAUUUCUGUUCCCAUGCUGUUUCUUAGUCAAGAUACCACCUAUUUCUAGUACUUAGUAACCAGCAUCUCCUAGGAGUACUAGAAAAUACUUUAAAUACUAAAUUAUGAAAUGCCAUAUAGUUGUAAAAUGGCCUUAGCUGUCCUGACACCCCAAUUUUUCAUUGUAACAUACAUCUACCAGGAGAGUUUGAUAAUAUGACAGUGUGAAAUAAGCUGUACCUCAUCCAAGAUUCAGUGAAAUGAUAGAAGGGCCCUAUUUUUUAAAAACCAAAAAAGAUAGAAUAUAUUUAAAGGGUUGAUAUCAAAGGCUGGCACACAGCAGGUGCUUAAUGGAUGCUAAGGAGGCAGAACAAUGCAGAGAAAUGGCCUGCUGCAGGCUAUCACACCUGGGUUCCAAUGGGCACUACCACUUAAUGUCGUGGGUGUCCUGACAACUACAGGAGGCUAUUUUUCCUACACGGGGAGACUAAUCCCUUCCUGGCAGAGCGGUAUUGAGGGUUGAUGGAGGUGAACAGGUUGCCAGGGUUUGGGGGUUUGUGCUCAAGCAGUACAUAAUUCUCUGCCCUGGCUGCUCCAGGACUGGGAGCGGCCCGCGCUUCCCUGUAAAUCAGCCUGCAGCCAAGGGCUCGCCAAUCCUUCCUAUGGUUACUAGGAUUUGAAUAGGUAAAAUUUGGGAUGACAACAUGAGAGGUAAGGCUAAGAUAUGGCUCUGGGUCCAGAGAUGGUAUGGAAGUUUGGGGGGGGGGAGGAGCAAAGACU